rnacentral:rRNA from 1 species
GUGGGGAAUCUUGCGCAAUGGGCGAAAGCCUGACGCAGCCAUGCCGCGUGAAUGAUGAAGGUCUUAGGAUUGUAAAAUUCUUUCACCGGGGACGAUAAUGACGGUACCCGGAGAAGAAGCUCCGGCUAACUUCGUGCCAGCAGCCGCGGUAAUACGAAGGGGGCUAGCGUUGCUCGGAAUUACUGGUCGUAAAGGGCGCGUAGGCGGACAGCUUAGUCAGAGGUGAACGCCCAGGGCUCAACCUUGGAAUUGCCUUUGAUACUGGCUGUCUUGAGUGUGGGAGAGGUGAGUGGAACUCCGAGUGUAGAGGUGAAAUUCGUAGAUAUUCGGAAGAACACCAGUGGCGAAGGCGACUCACUGGCCCAAUACUGACGCUGAGGCGCGAAAGCGUGGGGAGCAAACAGGAUUAGAUACCCCUGUAGUCC